GGUGAACGCUGGCGGCGUGCCUAAUACAUGCCAGUCGAGCGAACGGACGAGAAGCUUGCUUCUCUGAUGUUAGCGGCGGACGGGUGAGUAACACGUGGAUAACCUACCUAUAAGACUGGGAUAACUUCGGGAAACCGGAGCUAAUACCGGAUAAUAUUUUAAACCGCAUGGUUCAAAAGUGAAAGACGGUCUUGCUGUCACUUAUAGAUGGAUCCGCGCCGCAUUAGCUAGUUGGUAAGGUAACGGCUUACCAAGGCAACGAUGCAUAGCCGACCUGAGAGGGUGAUCGGCCACACUGGAACUGAGACACGGUCCAGACUCCUACGGGAGGCAGCAGUAGGGAAUCUUCCGCAAUGGGCGAAAGCCUGACGGGGCAACGCCGCGUGAGUGAUGAAGGUCUUCGGAUCGUAAAACUCUGUUAUUAGGGAAGAACAUAUGUGUAAGUAACUGUGCACAUCUUGACGGUACCUAAUCAGAAAGCCACGGCUAACUACGUG
rnacentral:rRNA from 1 species